rnacentral:rRNA from 1 species
GACGUAGGGCGCGAGCGUUUGUCCGGAUUUAUUGGGCGUAAAGAGCUCGUAGGCGGCUUGUCGCGUCGACUGUGAAAUCCCGCGGCUCAACUGCGGGUCUGCAGUCGAUACGGGCAGGCGUAGAGUUCGGUAGGGGAGACUGGAAUUCCUGGUGUAGCGGUGAAAUGCGCAGAUAUCAGGAAGAACACCGAUGGCGAAGGCAGCUCUCUGGGACGGUACUGACGCUGAGACGCGAAAGCGUGGGGAGCGAACAGG